rnacentral:rRNA from 1 species
CGUUGUCCGGAAUCAUUGGGCGUAAAGAGCGUGUAGGCGGUCCGGUAAGUCGGCUGUGAAAGUCCAGGGCUCAACCCUGGGAUGCCGGUCGAUACUGCCGGACUAGAGUCCGGAAGAGGAGAGUGGAAUUCCCGGUGUAGCGGUGAAAUGCGCAGAUAUCGGGAAGAACACCCGUGGCGAAGGCGGCUCUCUGGGACGGUACUGACGCUGAGACGCGAAAGCGUGGGGAGCGAACAGG